UCUAAAAAAGACAGAACUACUGCAAACCGACAAGUAGUCUGAGCUUCAUGGAGGAACAUAUAUUUUCUCAUAUAGCAUCAUACGUAAGAUCGCUUUCUGAUUGGCUGGCUACGUCAUUAUUUACAUUUUGGUGCAUUCAUUGGAGAAAACAAAUUGGGAUAGUUGUGGGUUUCAAGUUGUACUCCAUGGUCUGGGCUGUGUCUUUGUGCCUCAGCACUGGGGUCAACAUCAAAAUGAAUCCUCUGCGUUGGAAAUAUCAGAACAAUAUUCAGAUAUGGUUGUGGAGCAACAGAGUCCAGCAGAGAGGAACUCACAAGCCUGUCACCGG